UCACAAUGGCCUCCAGGAUUGUGAGUGGCCUCUGGGAGCUGAGGGAAGCUUCCAGUUGAUGUCCAACAAGAAGCUGGGAUCCUUAGUCCUACAGGCAAAGGACACAAAUUCUGUCAACAACCUGAGUGUAUUCCUGGUCCUGCUCAGUGCUCUGGCAGGGUGAACCUCUACUGAUUGCAUCAAUUUGCUCCCUUUUCUCUGGCUUCUCAAUGGGUUCAGCCAAUGGGAGGCACCAGCAGGAAAUCAAAGAAUGGAAGGCAAGAGAAGGCUGCAUUCAAGAGCAUGUAAGCAUCUAAUGUGCAUGCACUGAACUUCUUCAAGGGACAAGAACCUGGCUCCUGAGGCCUGUGGGCUUCCACUUGACACCAGGAAUUCUAAAGUGCCCACACUCAAAAGAAGUCAUUCUCUUCCCCGGUGUCCUGAUUGAAAAAGAGUCACAUUGGAAAAUGUGCUGUAUCCAUUAACCUUUUUGCAAAGAGCAGAAGGUCCACAGAGUUUGUCAGCAUGGCGUAUACUGUACUGUAGGAAAACAUACAUAAAUAAGGUAAAGCCAGCCUCUGUGUUAUGAGGACACUCCAGCAGUCCUAUGGAGAGGAUCAUGAGGAGGGAAACCAAGAUCUCCAGAGGAACAGACACCCCCUGACAACAUCCAGGGGAGUAAGCUGGGAAGCAGAUUACCUGGUCUUGGUCAAGACUUCGUAUGACUGCAAUCCUGGCCAGCACCUUCACUGCAACUUCAUGAAAGAUCCUAGACCAGAACCAUCCAGUUAAGCUGUCCUGUUUUUCCAACCCAUGGAAAUAAUGAGAAAAUAAAUGUUUGUUGUUUUAGGUCAUUCUAUUUUGGAAUGAUUUAUCAUAUAAUAAUCAAUAACUAAUACAGUACCAGGGGCAGGUUUUAAUUUGGAAUGAGUGUAUAGGAAAAUAUAAAGAAUAUGGUCAGAAAAAUUUAUCUUUUAUCCUUUAUUUUUUUUAUAUAUAGAAAUUAAUAGGCAUUAUGUAGAGAAAAUAGGAACACUUUUCAUGGGGUAUUUGGGUUGCAAAGUCAGAAAAUAUAACUCACACUUAUGUCAUCAUCGUUAUAAUUCUUACCAAAUACUAUUAAAAAUAAACUAUUUCAAAUAGUACUCUUGUAUUCAAUGACUUUUAUAAAGCCAUUGAAUAACAUAUCCCAGCUCUUAGGAACUCACAGAAUAUAGCAAUCUCUAC
rnacentral:lncRNA from 1 species